CCUACGGGUGGCAGCAGUGAGGAAUAUUGGUCAAUGGACGCGAGUCUGAACCAGCCAAGUAGCGUGAAGGAUGACUGCCCUAUGGGUUGUAAACUUCUUUUAUAUGGGAAUAAAAUGUUCCACGUGUGGCUUUUUGUAUGUACUUUAUGAAUAAGGAUCGGCUAACUCCGUGCCAGCAGCCGCGGUAAUACGGAGGACUCGAGCGUUAUCCGGAUUUACUGGGUUUAAAGGGAGCGUAGGUGGAUUGUUAAGUCAGUUGUGAAAGUUUGGGGCUCAACCGGAAAAUUGCAGAUGAUACUGGCAGACUAGAGUACAGGAGGGGUGACCGGAAUUCGCGGUGUAGCAGUGAAAUGCGUAGAUAUCGCGAAGAACUCCGAUUGCGAAGGCGGGUCACUGGACAGCAACUGACACAGAGGCUCGAAGGUGAGGGGAUCAAACGGGAUUAGAUACCCUUGUAGUC
rnacentral:rRNA from 1 species